UGCAGUCGAGCGAACAGAUGAGAAGCUUGCUUCUCUGAUGUUAGCGGCGGACGGGUGAGUAACACGUGGGUAACCUACCUAUAAGACUGGGAUAACUCCGGGAAACCGGGGCUAAUACCGGAUAAUAUUUUGAACCGCAUGGUUCAAUAGUGAAAGACGGUUUCGGCUGUCACUUAUAGAUGGACCCGCGCCGUAUUAGCUAGUUGGUAAGGUAACGGCUUACCAAGGCGACGAUACGUAGCCGACCUGAGAGGGUGAUCGGCCACACUGGAACUGAGACACGGUCCAGACUCCUACGGGAGGCAGCAGUAGGGAAUCUUCCGCAAUGGGCGAAAGCCUGACGGAGCAACGCCGCGUGAGUGAUGAAGGUCUUCGGAUCGUAAAACUCUGUUGUUAGGGAAGAACAAAUUUGUUAGUAACUGAACAAGUCUUGACGGUACCUAACCAGAAAGCCACGGCUAACUACGUGCCAGCAGCCGCGGUAAUACGUAGGUGGCAAGCGUUAUCCGGAAUUAUUGGGCGUAAAGCGCGCGUAGGCGGUUUCUUAAGUCUGAUGUGAAAGCCCACGGCUCAACCGUGGAGGGUCAUUGGAAACUGGGAAACUUGAGUGCAGAAGAGGAGAGUGGAAUUCCAUGUGUAGCGGUGAAAUGCGCAGAGAUAUGGAGGAACACCAGUGGCGAAGGCGGCUCUCUGGUCUGUAACUGACGCUGAUGUGCGAAAGCGUGGGGAUCAAACAGGAUUAGAUACCCUGGUAGUCCACGCCGUAAACGAUGAGUGCUAAGUGUUAGGGGGUUUCCGCCCCUUAGUGCUGCAGCUAACGCAUUAAGCACUCCGCCUGGGGAGUACGACCGCAAGGUUGAAACUCAAAGGAAUUGACGGGGACCCGCACAAGCGGUGGAGCAUGUGGUUUAAUUCGAAGCAACGCGAAGAACCUUACCAAAUCUUGACAUCCUUUGACCGCUCUAGAGAUAGAGUCUUCCCCUUCGGGGGACAAAGUGACAGGUGGUGCAUGGUUGUCGUCAGCUCGUGUCGUGAGAUGUUGGGUUAAGUCCCGCAACGAGCGCAACCCUUAAGCUUAGUUGCCAUCAUUAAGUUGGGCACUCUAGGUUGACUGCCGGUGACAAACCGGAGGAAGGUGGGGAUGACGUCAAAUCAUCAUGCCCCUUAUGAUUUGGGCUACACACGUGCUACAAUGGAUAAUACAAAGGGCAGCGAAUCCGCGAGGCCAAGCAAAUCCCAUAAAAUUAUUCUCAGUUCGGAUUGUAGUCUGCAACUCGACUACAUGAAGCUGGAAUCGCUAGUAAUCGUAGAUCAGCAUGCUACGGUGAAUACGUUCCCGGGUCUUGUACACACCGCCCGUCACACCACGAGAGUUUGUAACACCCGAAGCCGGUGGAGUAACCUUUUAGGAGCUAGC
rnacentral:rRNA from 1 species